AUUGAACGCUAGCGGCAUGCUUUACACAUGCAAGUCGAACGAGUGGCGGACGGGUGAGUAAUAUCUCGGAAAGGGCCCAGUGGAGGGGGAUAACUACUGGAAAAGGUAGCUAAUACCGCAUACCAUCAGAUGUGCCCAUAUGGGAUUAGCUAGUUGGUGGGGUAACGGCUCACCAAGGCGACGAUCCCUAGCUGGUCUGAGAGGAUGACCAGCCACACUGGAACUGAGACACGGUCCAGACUCCUACGGGAGGCAGCAGUGGGGAAUUUUGGACAAUGGGCGCAAUCCUGAUGCAGCCAUCCCGCGUGUAUGAAGAAGGCCUUCGGGUUGUAAAGUACUUUUAGCAGAGAAGCGUUACCCGCAGAAGAAGCACCGGCUAACUACGUGCCAGCAGCCGCGGUAAUUC
rnacentral:rRNA from 1 species